CAAAGAAGACUGGUGACUCACUGCCCAAGAUAACAUGGUUGAGGCAGCUCCAGCAGUUUGUCGCCUAAGAAAAUUACAGAAGAAUGUGUUAGAGAAGGCAAGGUGAUCACUUUUACAGUAUUUUUUAUUAUUGCUCUCAUUAUUUAUUGUUAGUAAUAAUUACUAUUAUUGCCAACAACAAGCUACUUUAUUUCUAAAAAUUUACUUUUGCAGUUUGCAAUUCCUUUAUCUCCAGACCUGAAGGCCAAAUUUUAAUUGCACUGUAAUUUCCAAUCAAGUAACCAUGACACCAGCUGUUCUUGCCAGGCUCUAUUCUGUGGUAGAGGGGGAACCUGUGUUCUCUUUACAUGGUUAUGCUGGAAAGUAUAUGGAUAAGGCAGGGGUCCUGCCUGAAGUAAUCCCAGGGUAUUUUUAAUGUCCUUUAAUUGCCAUUCAGGAUGUAAGUCAGACACAAUUGGGUCUGGUCACAGUUUAGGACUACUGAGCCCUGUUUAUAUAAAGGUGAAUUUAGCAAAUAAAUCUGAAGCUAUUACUUAUGUACAAUUUAUUUUUCUUUAACAUCUAUUGAUUUCUAAGCAAUGUGAAACUAGUUCCAGUAUACUCUAUGUAUUAUAUGUCUUCAUUUUGUUUUGUUUGUGAUCCCUGGAUAGCAUUGGCAGUGAGGUGGGAGGAGGAGAUGUAAUUGAGAAUUUGACAAGGGCCUUGCUACCAUAAUCAAACUGAAACCUUAUCAGACUUAUUUGAAGUUUUCAAGAAGUCCGAUUUUCUUGAGGUUUGAUAAUGUUAACAGAUGAAAAGUAUAUGACGUUAAGUUUUAAGUCUGUCUUUCUAUGUAUUUGCCAUAAAAUUCUGUUUUGCAUUGCUUGGGUGAUGUAGUUGUGAACAUUUUAAAUUUACAUGCAAAUUUCAUAGUAGUCAUCUUUCCUUCAGGUCCAAGGAAAGUAUGGCAGCAGAUAUGCCUUCUGUCUUUUGCCUUGGAGGGAUUUUGACCUGACCUGAAGCUGGCGCCUAGUCUGGAGUCAAGAGCUGGAGAUUUCUAUCUGUGACAGAACUUUGAAACUCUUGCAGGACACUUUCAUUUCAACUUAAGGUAACUUGAGUUUAUAGCUUUGGCUUUAAAGAUUACUAAUGAUUUACUCAUUUCCUUACCAUUUAACCAGAGUGGACUUUUUCCCAGGAAGGGAUCUGUGUUUAUUUAGGGCCUUUGUCUGCGGAGGGAUUAAAAGGCAGCCCACCAGCAUUGUGAACUUGAUGGUCAUAAAAGGUCACCAAAACACACCAUAAAAACAUUCUUACCAUGGAAUUAAUUAUACAGUGUAAUUUUACAAAGCAACUUGGUUACUCCAUCUUACCCCCUCCCCCAUAUUUAAACAUUUCAACUUUUAAAAAGUAAAUCUUUGGUAUAAUUUUGGUUUAUGAAAAAAAUGUUUUAUGAUGUUUAAAUGCUGAGGAAAUUGUCAUGUGCAUAUGUACAGUUUAAUUGCUUAAAAAUCUUAAAAUUUUUGAAAUGAAAAUGAUCAUUUAUUGUUAAACUGUGGGAUGAAUAACUUGUUUGGGAGGAGGUUAGAGUAGUCAGAAGAGUUGGUUAGUAUUUCAUAGAACAGCUCAGUUUCCAAAAACCUAAGUCCAGCUAAGAAUUUAUCUGUGCCACCAGGUGGCAUUGCAUCCAAACCUGCUAAUGAUAAAAGGAUUAUAAAAUAUAUUAUUUUUUGUUAAAGAUAUAACGAUUUUACUUUUGAAGUUGACUGAAAACUACAUCUGAUAUCAAGGUUAAGUAUCUGCAAAGAAUUGAAAAGAUUUCUAAACUCUAAAUAUUUGUUUUUAGGUUGUUGAUAUUAAAACGAAAGUAAAUGAAAAUGAAAUAUUUGGAGGGGAUUGCUAUUUUUCAUUUAGUAAAAUAAGCAUUUAACAUUUGGCUUUUUUUUUUUUUUUUUUUUUUUUUUUUGCUUGUCUAAACACUGGAGAGGGGAAUCCAGCGUAUAAAAAUUCUCACAAAUAUUUCAAAUCCCCGCCCCCCACCAUGUGGCAAGAUUCCACCCCCCUCCCUGGGUCUUGUAAAAAAAAAAAAAAAAAAAGUGUCAGCAGGUUUUACUGUAUGGGAAUUUUUAAAAAGAGGGAGAAACCUCUGAAAGGUGCAAGUUGGUCCUUUUCACAAGCCUAACUAUGAGAUUCAUUAGGCAGUUCAUGUUCAUGUCUUAAAAGCUGUUUUUGGGAAAGUAAAUUCUUGAGUUUCCUGUACUGUUUUUCAGGGAGUCUUUAUAGUCUUUUGAAUCAGCUCAUUUUAAAACAGUGAUAAUGUAAAAAGCACAAUAAAAAAAGGCUCAUUAUAAAUUUUAUAAAAGUGUGAUUUUUUUCAUUAAAAUACGUAUUCAUGUUCUAUUUUUAUGAACCCAUAAAUAUAAGUUAAUAAACUGUAGCAGAAACAAUUAAAUUACUUAAUACAGCUAUCCAGGUGAUAGGAUAUGUUGUCAGAAUAAAUAAAGCUCAGUGUAUAUUCUAUUGAUUUUUAUUCUUUUAAAAAAUGUAUUCACCAUGCAGAGUGAUGUUUAAUGCUUAGCUUUGAUCAUUUAGCAAAAAGCUUAGUGCUACUCAUUUUAUACUCUUGCCUCUUCUGAGGCUUCUUAAUGUGCACAACCUGUUUUAAGAAAUGUAUAUGUUUUCAAAGUAAAUGUUUGACCUCCCACCUUGAUGUUCCCACUUAAAAGCAAAACCCUCCCCUCCCUUAUAUUUUGAAUAACUUGAUGAGAAUGUGUGUUGUACUAAAACUAAAUAUAUGCACCCUUCAGUAUUACCAAAAGAGACCUUUUGGUUUUAAAAAUUAGGAAAUUUCACUUUUGAAAGUAGUCUAGACAAAGGUACUCAUGACAUUUGACCCUGAAAUUUUUACUUUUAAACUUGAUGCAACAGUCUGCUUCUUAGCUUUGUUGUAUGCUAAUAUUUCUACUUAUUUAACAUCAAAAAGCUGUAGAGGUUUCUCUUUAUAGAUUAUGCCUGUGUUCUGGAAUUGCCUCCUGCUGUCCAUGAAUUGCUUCUUGGCUUGUUGUGUUAGAAUUUCUCACCAGGGUCUUUUGUGAGCUAUGUAGCCAACAUUAAAAAAAAAAAAAUCAAAUUUGAUAGAGUAAACUGGACUAGUAAAAAUUAUACUUACUAUUCAUAAUUAUAAUUGAGGUUUCUUGGCUCAGCAUAUCAAUUUUAUGCAGUAAGAGUAAGCACAUACAAAUCUCAUGUAAUGAUAUGCAUACAUAUAGUUGCCUACAAUGACUGUUUUUCUAGUUAUUUCUAUAAUAUUAAAAUGAUUUUUUUGCUGAAAUUCCAGAAAUCUAAAAACAUUGAAAAAUAAUGAUAAUGAGAAAAACAAUUCUUACUUGUUAGGGUAUAUGUUAUUUAGUAAUGAAGCAUUUAGAUUUUGGAUUCUCUCAUUUCAGUUGGAAAUAGUAUUGGUGUAAGUGAGUGUUGCCAUGGGAACCUCCACAUAGAUAUAAAAGGCAAUACUGUCUAAGUGGAGGAGGAGGGGCGAUGUACUGAAAUACCACUGGCCUAAAUGAUCUAUUUUAUGUAUGUGUGUUGGUGUGGGGGUGAGAGCUAGGAUGAAAAGGGGAGAGAAAGUACUACAGAAAGUAAAUGUUAGCAGUCAAAGCAAUUUACUCACACUUUUGGAUUCUUUUAGAUAGAAGUGUUUUAAAGCUCGAAAUGUGAUUCUUAAUUAUUGGUAUCAUUUGCACACACUGGGGAGUCUUUGCAUAUCUUAUUUUUAAUGUACAGUGGAAUAUGUUUAACUUACUUGGUUUUAGAUAAAAUUUAAUUUAGUGAAAUUUGAGAGUUAGGAUUUCAGUCUUUGAAAUGGCUUUAUACAUGUUAUUAAAGAUGUUAUAUUUAAUUCUUUUUAAAUAUCUGAAAUUUAGAAAAACUGAUUAGGACACAGUUAAUGUGGCUUUCAAAGAAAAGCUGGCAUUUUGGCUUUAUAGUAUUUUUAAUACUAGAUUUUUAGUAAUUUUCUAUAAAUAUAUAGGCAAGGAAACAAUGACUUACUGUAUCUGCAUGUGUAAUAUUUUAUGGUUAAAAAAAUAAAGAAUGAAAACAACAAAACCUAACAUAAAAUCUUUUUAUAUCCCUUAGGAGCACAUAAAGAUUGUAGAGAUAGAGAUGAUUAGAGAACAACCAAUUUAACUGCAUGCAAAGUAACAUUUUUGUUUUUUGUAUGUUUAGGUUACAAAAAAACAAUGAAAUUGUGCCCAACCUGAGUUAGCCUGGUAAAAUGCAGCAGCAUCAUCAUUGCAGUUUUAACACUAUGGAUUCUGGUUGUCAGAUACAAAUAUAAAAAAAAGAAGAGAUAUUAACUGACAAAAACUGUUUAAACUUACCUUUUUAGUCAAUCCAGAGAAAAAGCUGCCAAGGUAAUAAAACAUCCAGAAGUUUUUAAGUUAAAACGAGUAAUUUAAAUUAAAAGGGGUGAGGGGGCAUGAGCAAGCAAGGGAGAAGAAAAAAGGGGUGAAAACGACAGGCACUUUGCUUCCUGGGCCUGGCUGUAUCUGAUGUAAAUUAACCAGCAGUGGGGAGUGUAUUGUUUCCAACUCCACAUAAACAAUGCUGGGUAUCUCUUUGGGAAUGGGUGGGUGCUGGGAUGGAUGGAGGUUGUUGAGAAGGGAACUGGCAAGCAGAGUUUAUAAUCUAUUAGUGGAUUUUUUUUGGCAUGCGAAACAUAGUAGGAAAGAGUAAAUAAUGAGAAAGUACGUUUGCAUGUAAAAUUGAUCAAGUGAAACCUUAAAAUGAUGUGAAAUAAUUCAUAAUUGUUAGAGAAUGCUUAUUUGUCAGUAAUCUUCAGGUUUAAAAAAAUUUUUUUUAAAGACUGACGCCUUGUAAUGUAAAACGUUCAGCAAUGAAGAUACCCAGUUUUAAGUGUACUUUUGGCAUAGUAUAUCAGCUUAGCUCUAAACAUGGCUUCUAAAAACUAAAAGACUAAGGAAACUUGUAUUUCUUUGAAAAAUAGGUAACAAGAGGGAUGAAAAGUCAAGUUUAUUUUUAAAAAUAAGAGAAUGAAAGUAAGAGCUACAACAUCCAUGUUGUUUUUCUGUUUCAGUUUUUGCCUGCUGCUUUUUCUUCCCUGCACUCUUUCUUGGAAUAAAAUCUGAUAGUCUUAA